CCUACGGGAGGCAGCAGUGAGGAAUAUUGGUCAAUGGGCGAGAGCCUGAACCAGCCAAGUCGCGUGAGGGAGUACUGCCCUAUGGGUUGUAAACCUCUUUUGUCGGGGAGCAAAAGCCGGACGUGUCCGGCUGUGAGAGUACCCGAAGAAAAAGCAUCGGCUAACUCCGUGCCAGCAGCCGCGGUAAUACGGGGGAUGCGAGCGUUAUCCGGAUUUAUUGGGGUAAAGGGGUGCGCAGGCGGAUUUUUAAGUCAGCGGUCAAAUCGUGGGGCUAAACCCCAUCCAGCCGUUGAAACUGGGGAUCUAGAGUGUGCGAGAGGUAUGCGGAAUGCGUGGUGUAGCGGUGAAAUGCAUAGAUAUCACGCAGAACCCCGAUUGCGAAGGCAGCAUACCGGUGCACAACUGACGCUCAGGCACGAAAGCGUGGGUAUCGAACAGGAUUAGAUACCCUUGUAGUC
rnacentral:rRNA from 1 species